rnacentral:rRNA from 1 species
CGAAAGCCUGACGGAGCAAUACCGCGUGAGGGAAGACUGCCUAUGGGUUGUAAACCUCUUUUUUCAGGGAGGAAUAAAAUGACGUGUACCUGAAGAAUAAGCAUCGGCUAACUCCGUGCCAGCAGCCGCGGUAAGACGGAGGAUGCAAGUGUUAUCCGGAAUCACUGGGCGUAAAGCGUCUGUAGGUUGCCUAGCAAGUCUAUUGUUAAAGGUUAAAGCUUAACUUUAAAACUGCAGUAGAAACUGCUAAGCUUGAGUACAGUCGAAGUAGAGGGAAUUUCCAGUGAAGCGGUGAAAUGCGUAGAUAUUGGAAGGAACACCAAUGGCGAAAGCACUCUACUAGGCUUUUACUGACACUCAGAGACGAAAGCUAGGGUAGCA